CAUCAGUACCGCCAAACCUGUAGCGAUGCAGGGACGGAAAGCCACGGGUCUCAUCUCCUGAGACAGCCGGGCCGCCUGA
rnacentral:ncRNA from 1 species